rnacentral:rRNA from 1 species
UAAGGAAUAUUGGACAAUGGGCGCAAGCUUGAUCCAGCCAUCCCGCGUGCAGGAUGAAUGCCCUAUGGGUUGUAAACUGCUUUUAUAUGUGAAGAAACCCCUGGAUUGAUCCGGGGCUGACGGUAUCAUAUGAAUAAGCACCGGCUAACUCCGUGCCAGCAGCCGCGGUAAUACGGAGGGUGCAAGCGUUAUCCGGAAUCACUGGGUUUAAAGGGUGCGUAGGUGGCUUGGUAAGUCAGAGGUGAAAGCCCGUCGCUUACCGAUGGAAUUGCCUUUGAUACUGAUAAGCUUGAAUAAGGUUGAGGUAGGCGGAAUGUGGCAUGUAGCGGUGAAAUGCAUAGAUAUGCCAUAGAACACCAAUUGCGUAGGCAGCUUACUGGACCUAUAUUGUCGCUGAGGCAAGAAAGCGUGGGGAUCAAACAGGAUUAGAUCCCCUGGUAGUCCACGCCAUAAACGAUGCUUACUCGAUAUCUGUUCUUCGGAAUCGGUGUCCAAGCGAACGCGAUAAGUAAGCCACCUGG